ACGCUGGCGGCGUGCUAACACAUGCAAGUCGAACGAAACACCUUAUUUGAUUUUCUUCGGAACUGAAGAUUUGGUGAUUGAGUGGCGGACGGGUGAGUAACGCGUGGGUAACCUGCCCUGUACAGGGGGAUAACAGUCAGAAAUGACUGCUAAUACCGCAUAAGACCACAGCACCGCAUGGUGCAGGGGUAAAAACUCCGGUGGUACAGGAUGGACCCGCGUCUGAUUAGCUGGUUGGUGAGGUAACGGCUCACCAAGGCGACGAUCAGUAGCCGGCUUGAGAGAGUGAACGGCCACAUUGGGACUGAGACACGGCCCAAACUCCUACGGGAGGCAGCAGUGGGGAAUAUUGCACAAUGGGGGAAACCCUGAUGCAGCGACGCCGCGUGAGUGAAGAAGUAUCUCGGUAUGUAAAGCUCUAUCAGCAGGGAAGAAAAUGACGGUACCUGACUAAGAAGCCCCGGCUAACUACGUGCCAGCAGCCGCGGUAAUACGUAGGGGGCAAGCGUUAUCCGGAAUUACUGGGUGUAAAGGGUGCGUAGGUGGUAUGGCAAGUCAGAAGUGAAAACCCAGGGCUUAACUCUGGGACUGCUUUUGAAACUGUCAGACUGGAGUGCAGGAGAGGUAAGCGGAAUUCCUAGUGUAGCGGUGAAAUGCGUAGAUAUUAGGAGGAACAUCAGUGGCGAAGGCGGCUUACUGGACUGAAACUGACACUGAGG
rnacentral:rRNA from 1 species